GACGAACGCUGUCGGCGUGCUUAACACAUGCACGUCGAACGGACAGGCCCUGCUUUUGUGGGGUGCUCGAAUGGCGAACGGGUGAGUAACACGUGAGUCACCUGCCCUUGCCUAUGGGCUAACUUCCGGACCCUCGGGCUAAUACCGGAUAGGAGCUCCCGCUGCAUGGUGGGGUUUGGACAGUUUCGGCGGUUGGGGAUGGACUCGCGGCUUCUCAGCUUGUUGGUGUGGUAGUGGCUUACCAAGGCUUUGACGGGUAUCCGGCCUGACAGGGUGACCGGCCACAGUGGGACUGAGAUACUGCACAGACUCCUACGGGAAGCAGAAGUGGGGGAUAUUGCACUAGGGGCGGAAGCCUGAUGCAGCAUCGCCGCCUGCGGGAUGACGGCCCUCGGGUUGUAAACCGCGUUCGCCUGGGACGAAGCGUGAGUGACGGUAAUGGGUAAAGAAGCACCGGAUAACUACGUG
rnacentral:rRNA from 1 species